rnacentral:rRNA from 1 species
GAUGAACGCUGGCGGCGUGCUUAACACAUGCAAGUCGAACGAAGAUGCCGGAGUGCUUGCACUUUGGCAGACUGAGUGGCGGACGGGUGAGUAACGCGUGGGUAACCUGCCUUAUACAGGGGGAUAACAGUUGGAAACGACUGCUAAUACCGCAUAAGCGCACGGUAUCGCAUGAUACAGUGUGAAAAACUCCGGUGGUAUAAGAUGGACCCGCGUCUGAUUAGCUUGUUGGUGAGGUAACGGCCCACCAAGGCGACGAUCAGUAGCCGACCUGAGAGGGUGACCGGCCACAUUGGGACUGAGACACGGCCCAAACUCCUACGGGGAGGCAGCAGUGGGGAAUAUUGCACAAUGGGGGGAAACCCUGAUGCAGCGACGCCGCGUGAGCGAAGAAGUAUUCGGUAUGUAAAGCUCUAUCAGCAGGGAGAAAAAAUGACGGUACCUGACUAAGAAGCCCCGGCUAACUACGUG